GUUUCAGCAGCCGCGGUAAUACGUAGGGUGCGAGCGUUAUCCGGAAUUAUUGGGCGUAAAGAGCUCGUAGGCGGUUUGUCGCGUCUGUCGUGAAAGUCCGGGGCUUAACCCCGGAUCUGCGGUGGGUACGGGCAGACUAGAGUGCAGUAGGGGAGACUGGAAUUCCUGGUGUAGCGGUGGAAUGCGCAGAUAUCAGGAGGAACACCGAUGGCGAAGGCAGGUCUCUGGGCUGUAACUGACGCUGAGGAGCGAAAGCAUGGGGAGCGAACAGGAUUAGAUACCCUGGUAGUCCAUGCCGUAAACGUUGGGCACUAGGUGUGGGGACCAUUCCACGGUUUCCGCGCCGCAGCUAACGCAUUAAGUGCCCCGCCUGGGGAGUACGGCCGCAAGGCUAAAACUCAAAGGAAUUGACGGGGGCCCGCACAAGCGGCGGAGCAUGCGGAUUAAUUCGAUGCAACGCGAAGAACCUUACCAAGGCUUGACAUGUUCUCGAUCGCCGUAGAGAUACGGUUUCCCCUUUGGGGCGGGUUCACAGGUGGUGCAUGGUUGUCGUCAGCUCGUGUCGUGAGAUGUUGGGUUAAGUCCCGCAACGAGCGCAACCCUCGUUCCAUGUUGCCAGCACGUCGUGGUGGGGACUCAUGGGAGACUGCCGGGGUCAACUCGGAGGAAGGUGAGGACGACGUCAAAUCAUCAUGCCCCUUAUGUCUUGGGCUUCACGCAUGCUACAAUGGCCGGUACAAUGGGUUGCGAUACUGUGAGGUGGAGCUAAUCCCAAAAAGCCGGUCUCAGUUCGGAUUGGGGUCUGCAACUCGACCCCAUGAAGUCGGAGUCGCUAGUAAUCGCAGAUCAGCAACGCUGCGGUGAAUACGUUCCCGGGCCUUGUGCACACCGCCCGUCAAAC
rnacentral:rRNA from 1 species